CUCGUCAAAUAACAGCUCACUUGAAAUGUGCGCUCUUAUUUUGUUUAGUUCACUUCAAACACAGCCAAUGUCAACCCGUCUCACAAUACCGCAGUAUGUAUUUAAAAGUUGCAAAAAUUAGGCCCGAAAAAGCAAUUUAACGGCCGGAGUAUCUUACUUUCGCUUUCCUAGCAAUCACGUGUGCAGAAUGGAUCUCGAUUGUCGCCAGAGAAACAAGAGAUGACUUUUAUAAGCCAGCUAAGAUCUCCGCUUAUUGACACUGGACAUCUUUGCCUUCCGUGCUCACGGCUACUGAAACGUGGCCGAAACAUUGUAAUAAAAAUACCGCGCUUGAAACCGUUUAAACGUUGUUUUAUUAUGUGCACUGGUCGCGAAAACUUAAAAAUAUAUAUUACACAAAAACGUAACGCUAAUAAAAUAAUAAGAAAUGUAUAGAUACUAACAAACAUACAUUUCCAAAACAUAAAAAGUAAACAACUAAACUUUUACUUUAAUUCAUUAAUAAAUUAUUUUAGUGUUCAGCGCGACUCCCUUACUUCCUGUAGUAAAUAGAAAUCGGCAUUUUAAAAAGCAAAAAUAAAUAAAGCAAAACGAUGUUAGUUCUCAGAGCAAUUAAGGGAAAAGUUACUUUAUUUGUUGCCGUUUAAGAUUGAUUUAACAUUAAAAAUUGUUUAAAA